CACGUAGGGGGCGAGCGUUGUCCGGAAUCAUUGGGCGUAAAGAGCUCGUAGGCGGCUCAGUAAGUCGGGUGUGAAACCCCCAGGCUCAACCUGGGGACGCCACCCGAUACUGCUGUGGCUAGAGUCCAGUAGGGGAGUGUGGAAUUCCCGGUGUAGCGGUGAAAUGCGCAGAUAUCGGGAGGAACACCCGUAGCGAAGGCGGCACUCUGGGCCGUGACGUGACGCUGAGGAGCGAAAGCGUGGGGAGCAAAC
rnacentral:rRNA from 1 species